GUUUCAGCGAGACAUCACAUCAACCAGACCACAUCUGAGAGACUAUGAGUGUCACUGGUUUACUCUGCCUUUCAUUGCAUGGAUUCAUUCUCACAAUACAUGCUCUCCAGCACCAGCGGGUCCGGCCCAACGGCAUGGCCAUUCUGCCCUGUGGUGAGCUGAAGGCUGGGAAAGUGACCUGGAGCAGAGAUCUGAAAGGACGCAAAGUGUCCAUCCUCAGCACUGAAAAUGGAGACAUAACCAGACACAUACAGAAUCACAAUCACAGCUCCUUACCUGACCUGUCUCUGGUCAUCUGGUUUGUCUCAUCUUGGGAUGAAGGCUUGUAUUAUUGCAACAGGACACCUGUGGCAUGUCUAACAGUGAAAGCAGCUGAUGGACAGAACAAAGAGGGUCUGACUGCAUGUGUCGAAGGUGGCGUGCGUGUGGAUGUGAUGGCCCGUGCGCUGAUGUUCGGCGGUGUUGGACUGGCGGCUCUGAUGCUUCUCUUCGCUACUGCAGCUGCAGUAAAAGCUUCACGCUCGACUCGCAUGGCAGACCACACUGAUCUAUAUAUUAACCUGAGAGAACGGCAGUCAAACUGAUGAAGAGCUUCAAGAAAACCUUUUAAACUGCUUAGUCAAACAUCACUGUUGCUAUUGUUCAUACGUACACUGUAAAAAAUUGUGCCAUUAAAUAACAGUAAUUUACUGGCAGCAGGGUUGCCAGUAAGGUACUAUUAAUUUACAACUCUAAAUUUUUACAGUGUUUUACCGUAAUUCUACCAUGGAAAUUAACUCCGCU
rnacentral:lncRNA from 1 species